rnacentral:rRNA from 1 species
ACGGAAGGCAGCAGUGGGGAAUAUUGCACAAUGGGGGAAACCCUGAUGCAGCAACGCCACGUGUGGGAAGAAGCAUUUCGGUGUGUAAGCCACUGUCGUGAAGGAAUAAUGCUGGACCUCGGUCCAGUUGAAUGUACUUUGAAAGGAAGCACCGGCAAACUUCGUGCCAGCAGCCGCGGUAAUACGAGGGGUGCAAGCGUUGUUCGGAAUCACUGGGCGUAAAGGGAGCGCAGGCGGAGAUGCAAGCAGUCUGUACAAUACCGGGGCCCAACCCCGGACCUGCAGACUGGACUGUUUCUCUUGGAUAGCUCAGGGGCUGGCGGAAUUCCUGGUGUAGCGGUGGAAUGCGUAGAGAUCAGGAAGAACACCGAUGGCGAAGGCAGCUUGCUGGGGACUUAUCGACGCUCAUGCUCGAAAGUGCGGGUAGCAAACAGGAUUAGAUACCCUGGUA